GGGAGCAUGAUAAAUCUCUCAACAAGGGUCUAACUCAUUUUGAACAAACUCAAUACAGAGCAGAUAGCUUUUAUAAUCAUAAUUAAUAUUUUCAGUUUUAUCAGGCAUAUGAAACACUGAGGAUGGUAGCUAGAAAUUUGAAUAUUUUGAAAUAAAUUCUCCAAGCAACAAUGAUAUCAAGAAUAAGAAACUCAUACUCUACCAUCACAUAUUCUAUAUUGACUUAAGUAACACAGGGUUUUAAAAUGAUUUUAUAAUAAUUGCAAAUUUUCAGGAAAUAUCAUAAAUUGAGAUUAAUCAUGAUUAGAAAUAUUUUAAUCUUUUUAUCUUAUCAUGUCGGAAACAGUAAUCUGCAU
rnacentral:lncRNA from 1 species